rnacentral:misc_RNA from 1 species
GAUGAAGAACGUAGCGAAAUCCGAUAAGUAAUGUGAAUUGCAGAAUUCAGUGAAUCAUCGAAUCUUUGAACGCACAUUGCGCCCGCUAGUAUUCUGGCGGGCAUGCCUGUCCGAGCGUCAUUUCAACCCUCAAGCCCCCGGGCUUGGUGUUGGGGAUCGGCGAGCCUCCGCGCCCGCCGUCCCCUAAAUCUAGUGGCGGUCUCGCUGUAGCUUCCUCUGCGUAGUAGCACACCUCGCACUGGGAAACAGCGCGGCCACGCCGUUAAACCCCCAACUUCUGAACGUUUGACCUCGGAUCAGGUAGGAAUACCCGCUGAACUUUCGCAUAUCAAUAAGCGGAGGA